GGCGAUCAGAUACCGCCCUAGUUCUAACCGUAAACGAUGACAACCAGCGAUUAAUCGGCGUUAAUUUAUGACCCGAUUAGCAGCUUCCGGGAAACCAAAGUUUUUCGUUUCCGGGGGAAGUAUGGUUGCAAAGCUGAAACUUAAAGGAAUUGACGGAAGGGCACCACCAGGAGUGGAGCCUGCGGCUUAAUUUGACUCAACACGGGAAAACUCACCCGGCCCGGACACCGUAAGGAUUGACAGACUGAGAGCUCUUUCUUAAUUCGGUGGGUGGUGGUGCAUGGCCGUUCUUAGUUGGUGGAGCGAUUUGUCUGGUUAAUUCCGAUAACGAACGAGACUCUGGCCUAUUAAAUAGACGGCGUAUUAAAAAGUAUGUCGUACUUCUUAGAGGGACAAGCGGCGUCUAGCCGCAUGAAAUAGAGCAAUAACAGGUCUGUGAUGCCCUUAGAUGUCCGGGGCUGCACGCGCGCUACACUGAAAGAAUCAGAGAGCGAUUCACCUGGUUCGGAAGAACUGGGUAACCCAAGUAAAUUCUUUCGUGCUUGGGAUAGGGAAUUGCAAUUAUUUCCCUUAAACGAGGAAUUCCCAGUAAAUGCGGGUCAUAAGCUCGCGUUGAUUACGUCCCUGCCCUUUGUA
rnacentral:rRNA from 2 species